UGACAAACUGUUUGGAAAAAACAACUCUCAUUUAUCCUUGUCUUCUACCUCAGUUAGCUGUGUAUCUAGUAUACAUAGUAUUUAUAGCUGUUUUGGCAAAAACCUACUGUCAUGGCUUCAAGUUGUUGUUCAUCUUUAUCAGCUUGAGACUCUAGUCUUCUAACUCUCAUACAUUGGCUCGUAGGUAAAGUCUUGAAGACAAAG